rnacentral:rRNA from 1 species
GAUGAACGCUGGCGGCGUGCCUAAUACAUGCAAGUCGAACGAAACUUCUUUAUCACCGAGUGCUUGCACUCACCGAUAAAGAGUUGAGUGGCGAACGGGUGAGUAACACGUGGGCAACCUGCCCAAAAGAGGGGGAUAACACUUGGAAACAGGUGCUAAUACCGCAUAACCAUAGUUACCGCAUGGUAACUAUGUAAAAGGUGGCUAUACUACCGCUUUUGGAUGGGCCCGCGGCGCAUUAGCUAGUUGGUAGGGUAAAGGCUUACCAAGGCAAUGAUGCGUAGCCGAAUUGAGAGGUUGAUCGGCUACAUUGGGACUGAGACACGGCCCAAACUCCUACGGGAGGCAGCAGUAGGGAAUCUUCCACAAUGGGCGAAAGCCUGAUGGAGCAACGCCGCGUGGGUGAAGAAGGUCUUCGGAUCGUAAAACCCUGUUGUUAGAGAAGAAAGUGCGUGAGAGUAACUGUUCACGUUUCGACGGUAUCUAACCAGAAAGCCACGGCUAACUACGUG